rnacentral:rRNA from 1 species
CCUACGGGGUGCAGCAGUGAGGAAUAUUGGUCAAUGGGCGCGAGCCUGAACCAGCCAAGUCGCGUGAGGGAAGACGGUCCUAUGGAUUGUAAACCUCUUUUGUCGGGGAGCAAAAGACGCCACGCGUGGCGUUCCGAGAGUACCCGAAGAAAAAGCAUCGGCUAACUCCGUGCCAGCAGCCGCGGUAAUACGGAGGAUGCGAGCGUUAUCCGGAUUUGUUGGGGUUAAGGGGUGCGCAGGCGGAAUGAAAAGUCCGCGGUAAAAUGGAGAGGCCAAACCUCUUCGAGCCGUUGAAACUGGUUUUCUUGAGUGAGUGAGAAGUAUGCGGAAUGUGUGGUGUAGCGGUGAAAUGCAUAGAUAUCACGCAGAACUCCGAUUGCGAAGGCAGCAUACCGGCGCUCAACUGACGCUCAUGCACGAAAGUGUGGGUAUCGAACAGGAUUAGAUACCCGUGUAGUC